rnacentral:tRNA from 1 species
GGGGAUAUAGCUCAGUGGGUAGAGUGCUUGCCUUGCAUACACAAGGCCCUGAGUUCUAUCCCCA